GGAGUUUGGGCCGUGUCUCAGUCCCAAUGUGGCCGUCCGCCCUCUCAGGCCGGCUACAGAUCGUCGCUUUGGUGGGCCGUUACCCCGCCGGCAAGCUAAUCAGACGCAUCCCCAUCCCUUACCGAUGAAUCCUUGCUCCUCAUUAGAUGCCUGCAAAGGAGAACAUAGAGUAUUAAUCCGACUUUCGCCGGGCUAUCCUCUAGUAAGGGGAAGGUUGGAUACGCGUUACUCACCCGUGCGCCGGUCGCCAUCAAAGGAAGCAAGCUUCCUUCAUGCUGCCCCACGACUUGCAUGUGUUAAGCCUGUAGCUAGCGUUCAUC
rnacentral:rRNA from 1 species